rnacentral:rRNA from 1 species
UACGGAGGGUGCGAGCGUUAAUCGGAAUUACUGGGCGUAAAGCGUACGCAGGCGGUUUGUUAAGCGAGAUGUGAAAGCCCCGGGCUCAACCUGGGAACUGCAUUUGAAACUGGCAAACUAGAGUACUGUAGAGGGGGGUAGAAUUUCAGGUGUAGCGGUGAAAUGCGUAGAGAUCUGAAGGAAUACCGAUGGCGAAGGCAGCCACCUGGGUCGACACUGACGCUCAUGUACGAAAGCGUGGGUAGCAAACAGG